rnacentral:rRNA from 1 species
GAUGAACGCUAGCGGCAGGCUUAAUACAUGCAAGUCGAGGGGCAGCAGGACGGUAGCAAUACCGUUGCUGGCGACCGGCAAACGGGUGCGGAACACGUACGCAACCUACCCAUAACUGGGGGAUAGCCCGGGGAAACCCGGAUUAAUACCUCGUAACCUUAUGAAGUGGCAUCGCUUUAUAAGUAUAGCUCCGGCGGUUAUGGAUGGGCGUGCGCCUGAUUAGGUAGUUGGCGGGGUAACGGCCCACCAAGCCUGCGAUCAGUAACUGGUGUGAGAGCACGACCAGUCACACGGGCACUGAGACACGGGCCCGACUCCUACGGGAGGCAGCAGUAAGGAAUAUUGGUCAAUGGACGCAAGUCUGAACCAGCCAUGCCGCGUGAAGGAUGAAGGUCCUCUGGAUUGUAAACUUCUUUUAUAGGGGAAGAAAUCUGAAUAUUCCUAUUCAGUUGACGGUACCCUAGGAAUAAGCACCGGCUAACUCCGUGCCAGCAGCCGCGGUAAGAC